GUGCUUAACACAUGCAAGUCGAGUGCGCGUGCCGUAGCAAUACGGUAUGGCGCACGGCGCACGGGUGCGUAACACGUGGGCAAUCUGCCCUUCGAUGGGGAAUAACUCCGGGAAACCGAAGCUAAUUCCGCAUAACAUUCCUUGGACCUCGGUUCGAGGAUUCAAAGCCGCAAGGCGUCGAAGGAGGAGCCCGCGCACGAUUAGCUAGUUGGUAGGGUAACGGCCUACCAAGGCUUUGAUCGUUAGCUGGUCUGAGAGGAUGGCCAGCCACACUGGAACUGAGACACGGUCCAGACUCCUACGGGAGGCAGCAGUGG
rnacentral:rRNA from 1 species